CGGUGCAGGUCCACGUCUGGGGUCGAGCCAGCCGCAUCAAGGCAGGUGCAGCUCGCCUGGGAGACGGGUGAGACAGUACGGGAGAGGCUGCGAGGAGGAUGGUGCAUCCUGGUGGCGAGCCUCCCGGCCGAGGGUCCAGCAACACUCGGAGCCUAAAGGCCUCAUGCAAGCGGAACAAAUGUGCAGCAGUUGGACCCGAACGGCCCCUGAUUUAACCCCCGCUGGGAUCUUUCUGCACAUAGUUUGGAUGUUCUCCACUUAAAGAGUUCUCCACAAAUCUGGAAAACAAGAUGGUCCAGCUUCCUCCCACAGUUUACGAGUGAUGUUAUCUCUACUGUUGCCCGUAAAUGCUCUAAAUGAGCGGAGGAGAGAGUUUGGUGUCCAGGAGAGAGAUUCAAUCGUUCCCAAACCAGCCGGGAGAUGUGAUCUCAGUCCCAGUGAGUCCCGGCUCGGCCCUCAGGCCUCUCCUCCUCCUCUUGGGAGGCUCCUGAGAGGAAACCCUGACGACGACCCCAGCGGCGCUGCUUCCCCGAGCCCCUCACCCUGUUCCCAACGAGGAUCCACCCUUGAUAGGAGCUCAUUUCAGCAGCCCUGCGGUAUCUAAGAGCGGGUAAACUGAAUUUAAUGACUCAGACUUCCCUUCAACAGGACAGACGUCUCAUGUGUCACUCCUGCAAACAAAACUCAAGAAAAGCCCAAACCCUUCGGCUUACUCCCGGUUUGAAGACGCCAAGGCAUCUGCAAGGAAGCUUUUCCAUUGCGUAGAUCUCCUCCAUAAUGUCCAUCCAAUGUCCUGUUUGUGGAGCGUCACUUUUCAACCAGUUUCUUGUAAUGGCCUUCUUAUAGACAAGUUUACCGGCCGUUUCCGCUCUACUUCCUAAACUCCUCCCCUCUAAGCAGUUUACUUCCGUUUUGGGGUUUUUCCAUUGAAAACAGUGGCAACAUUGCUCUGACAAAGAGGGACAAAAUGGAUAUUUCUAAGAAAAAAAGUGGUUCGGGAACGACAUGUCUCGGCAGUUGGAUGUAAGAACUCGAGGGAGCACCUGAAGGAGUGGUUGGAUAGAUAGAGCUGCAACCACAAACCAGCUUCAAAGAGACACGUCCAUGCGCUCUGUUGUUUACCUUUUUUCUGAAGCCACGGACCGGGCUGGAGGCUUUACAUCUAAAAAACCACCGCGCAACAUUUUUGUUUGUUCACACCACUUUGUUGACAAAAAAACAACAAAGGAUAAUCCAUUCCCUGAGUUGUGGUUGGUUUAUAAUCGCUCUCCCCAGCCAGAAAGGAGUAACUCAGCCGGCGGAUCCGCUGCCUCCCCCGGAGAAACAAACACGGAUCUGAGGAUGGUCCUGAAACCUGUCACCUGAGGCCGAGCCUGCUACACAAGUGAUGUUGUUCAUUAAAUAAAGAUAAACA